rnacentral:rRNA from 1 species
UAAGGAAUAUUGGUCAAUGGGCGGAAGCCUGAACCAGCCAUGCCGCGUGCAGGAAGACGGCCCUACGGGUUGUAAACUGCUUUUGCAGGGGAAUAAACCCCCGUAUGAAUACGGGGUUGAAUGUACUCUGAGAAUAAGGAUCGGCUAACUCCGUGCCAGCAGCCGCGGUAAUACGGAGGAUCCGAGCGUUAUCCGGAUUUAUUGGGUUUAAAGGGUGCGUAGGCGGCUUUUUAAGUCAGGGGUGAAAGACGGUAGCUCAACUAUCGCAGUGCCUUUGAUACUGAAGAGCUUGAAUGUACUUGAGGUAGGCGGAAUGUGACAAGUAGCGGUGAAAUGCAUAGAUAUGUCACAGAACACCAAUUGCGAAGGCAGCUUACUAAAGUAUGAUUGACGCUGAGGCACGAAAGCGUGGGGAUCAAACAGGAUUAGAUACCCCUGUAGUCC